CCCAGUUCUCAGAAAUCCCCGCGCUGCGGGAACAUCGAGCUCCGCUAGCGCAGCCCGGCUGCUGCCCUACAUCGCAGGCGGACACAUCCGUGUCUCUUUUGUUCUGCAGCUCCUGGAGUUGGAUGGGCCAGCCCUUGUAGGUUCGGUCAGUAUGUGGGAACAAGUAAGAAACAGAGGGUUUAAACACAUUAAUUUCCUUUCAUAAUUUUGGCUGCUGUUAAGUAAUAUUUUUGUACUGGUUCUCGUGUGUUCACCAGUGGAAGGGGCUGGGUUCUGCAGCUCACUUCCUUAAUGCUUUCAGGUUUUCAAAUAUCAAUUCAUAACCUUAACGAAAAAGACAGAUGCAAAAUGAAUGUGCCUGUGCUUGCGCAUAUCACAUUAUCACACAUUUCACAUUAUCUCUGGUCAUCUCUGGUCACAAGAGAGAGACUAAAAGGGCUUAUUUUGCCCUUAAUCCAUCCCUUAGUUCCUCUGUUUUUCUAGAUGAGAUACCUUGUUCUAGAAAGUUUCAUCUCAGAAAGAUAUAUUCUAAAAUAACAUGCUAGAAGAUCUUGUUUUGUGUUCUGUUUGUACCUACACUUACCCCUGUUUAGUAAUAAUUAGGUCAGAGCAUAGUUCAGGCCGAUGAAAUGCUUUUCUCCUUAAGUCAACCAUCUACCUUCAUGGUCACUCUUUUUUUUUUUUUUUUUUAAUGCUUGUUUUAGAGUUAGCCUUCAGUGAGAUAAAGUAAAAUAUUUUUAGUCAGUUUUAUUUGGUAAGCAAUUCUGACUUGACUGAAUUAAGCUAAAGUUUGCGGCAAGUCAACAAAGCUAACUUUAUUUUAUAUAUUUAAUUAUUUUACUGGGAGAGCCAAGGAGGUUUUAGAUAUCUUGAGAAGCAAAUGGACAAUUAAACUCUACAGAAAUUCAAAAUUGCCUGCUGAUUCUCAGUGCUAAGCAAACAUAAGCUCUAAUUUCUCUUCUUUUUUUUUCCUGAUAUUCUGUUCCUGUGCUCACACUCAGACAUUUAGAUCUUCAUACACAGAAGCACUUGGUUUGUAUAUCUACCUAGAUUUUGGGCCCUGCUAAGAACACCAAGGCAGCUGUAGCCACGCCACCAAGCCCAUCUUGCUGCCUGUGACAGUGGCCUGGGGAAGGACUUGACACCCCCUACAAACAUUUUCCAGACCUUUGGCUUGUUUGCAGCUUGGAGGCUCUCUGAUACUUUCGCACUUGUUUGCAAAAUGCCAACGAGCCCAGAGACCAGAGUUCAGAUCUCACCUAGACCCAAGUCAGUGUUCUGAGGACAAGGCUUACUCAUUCAAAGUCAAAUGGCUUAAUAAAGGAGGGUGGAGGCUAUGUUCUCCAGACUGCCUGAGCACUUGGCUCCAAGCUGAGAGCUGUGGGUACGAAUCCCUGCUGGAAAUCUGGACCUGCAGUGCUUUCAGCGCUGAUCUGCUGGAGUCAGCCACACCUUGCAGCACCUCAGAGAUGGGUCCCAGCCUGGGCCUAGCUGAAUUUCUUCUUGGUUGCCUAAAAUGUGAUUCUCUACUCAGUGGACUCAUUUUGACAGCCUUUCCAAGGCUGUCAGUACAAGGCAAACAAAAUCAUGCCUUGCCCUUGAUUCUGAGAUGGUUGAAUUGCAGGUCAGCUCCAGUGUUGGGCUAUUAUCACAGUGCUAAAUUUGAUCUGGUGAGUCCUGCUGGGGUAAAGAGGAUAUUAGUUCAUGCUCACUCUGCUGACGUGGCUGCGCAAUUUCUGGUCAGCAGUACAAGAAGCACAAGAGCGAGGCUGUGUAGCAUAGCCUGAGGUAUCUAACUCUUCUGUCAUGACGUAUGAAGCCUAAAGUGCAUACCUCAGAGCUCUAGCUCCCACACGUCUAUGAGAAGUGUGCAGAUAUAGUCACAUACAUAGCAUGAUGCGUCACCAUUGCCUCAGUAAUCUGCAAAGCAGGUUAUUGUCAAAGCUAAUGUUCAGGGCCAAGAGAGUUGUCACUGCGGUUACUUACACUGAUGCAUGCACCAGAGAUCUGUCUUUUCUUUUUCUUCCUUUUUUUUUUUUUUUCUUUUUUUUUUCUUCCCAUAGUCACCACAUAAUUUCCACCCAGUCUUCUCAAAUCUUAAUGCUCUGUUCAAAUACGUGCUUUGUGUGCCUCUGGUUUCACCAUGGUGGAUUGUCAUGCGUGGCAGCACUGCAGACUUGUGUAGUUGAAUGUGUAGAGAAAAAGCUGUAAAGAGAACAGAAAAAAGCAUGAACAACGAUGUCAGUUAGUAGAAUUUAAUUAUAACUUAGAAGCAAAGCUAGUUGACUGAGCUUGUGUUAAACGGGUUUGGAGAACCAGGUGAUCUAAUAGCUCUUUGAUUUUUCAGGUAAGAAACUAGUGAAGGACGUGAUUCUCUUAAGAGCACGUGCUCCUCCUCUUCACUGUGGCUAAUUUUGUAUCUCUGUGACUAUUUCUAUGUAUUUUGCUUGUCUGAAAUCUACUGACAACAGUAAUUAGGUGAAUACUACUUUUUUUUUUUUCUUGGUGCGUGUGUUACAAAGGGCAAUACUGAAUCAGAGAGAAGACAUAUCUUGCUAAGGUUCUGAGCUCCAAGAGUAAGUCAAAGACUUCAAGAUUAGCUAUUUAUGUGCUACUUGGACUUUCAAGUAACCUUUUUUUCACUCAGAAGGGCAGUUAGGCCACCAUUAUGUUGUUCUAGCUGACUCCAAACCCACUUAUCCACUUCAAGGUAUGAAAUGAUCAAAUCUUAGAAUGAGUGCAGCAGUCAAAACACCAAGUUUUUGGUGUCUCUACUCUGCUCAAAUAAUGGCACUGACGUUUUAAAUGAAAUAGUUUGACAGCUAUGAAGGUUUGUUUUUCAGGUGGAGCAGCUUAGCAGGGUAGCUGCAAGGGAAUUUUGCAGGAUGGAUCAGAGAGUAGUACUUCCAGCACCAAGGCCAUCUGCUGGCAUUGUCACUGUAAUACUGUCUGAGGAGCAACUAUCGUUACUACAGAUAUAUAGUAUGAAAUAAUCUUACUGUUAAGGAGAGAGAGACAGAAGAAAACUAUUAUUUAGGCUUGCUUAAUUUUUGAAGCUCCCCUCAACUUUUUGAGCUUCAGCCUUACCCUGACAAAGAAACUCCCAUCACAGCUGUAUGUGAGUCAGAAGUCCGGGUAUAUUUAGCUAAUGCUUGUAGAAGUUGCGCCACCUGGAGCCAGUUACACAGAACGGAAAAUACCAAAUGUUUUCUAAUGACCUGUGAUGAAAACAUACAUUUUGCCUGUCCAAGUAAAGCUUGAAGACAGCAAAGCGUGUUCCUGCUGCUUGCAAGAAGAGAAUUAUAAUAAAAUUAGCACUUUGUCGCUGCCAGCAUUUCAUAUGGAGUUCUUUAUAAAUAUUCAUAUAAAUGACCCAUCUUGCUAAUUAAGUAGUUGUCUCUAUACAGAGAAUGGUACUUCGUGGUAUGCAAUGGGUGUUAAUCUCCCCCCAGAAGUUAAGUACAAGGCGCUUUUAUGGUCUGUGAUCUUAACUGUGCUAGGAGCUUCAUUCAGAUACAUAACUUGUCCUGCCUAGAAUUCAGAGUAAGAUCAAACGAUAAAGGUCAACCUCAGUAAACAUUUGCCCAUAGAAAUGGCAUUAAAUAGCUAUGGUGUUCCUCCUCAUAUCCAUCAUGCUGUGUUUUGUGGAAGACUGAACUGAAAUUCAAUUUGCCUGUUGAUGUUUACACCAGCAGCUGUUUUGAGAAUUUCAGCAUUCAUUUCAUCAAGCAAGUAAAUAUUUACUACUCUGUUUCUCCCAAAGCAGCAAUGGCUAUUAAAUGAUAACAAAAGAAGUUGUGGUAUUUGUGCAGAAAUGAAUAAAUCUCCAAUUUUUCUCCCAGGAGUCACCUGACGAGGCAGAAAAAGUGAUUAAAUGUGCAUUUAAGCAUAUUUACAUGGAUGCACACCUUUGAGAAGCCUACUCUGUGGUAGUUAAGAAUCACAGAUGUUGAUUGCAGUGCCUACCUUGUUCUGUUACAACUGCUAUUUCUGUUGACAAAAAAGGCGAGUGCAGGUUAUAGCUUUUAGUUUCCAUUAGUACAUGUAAAAGAGACCGAUGUGAAGAAGUCUGUUCUUCCUUUUGUUUAUAUAAGGGUUUGCUCACUUUCAGUGUGCUGUACCAGAGAAAGUCCACAGAGAACAGUAAUACUCAGCAGGUGCCAAUAAGGACAGAAUCGGAGAGCUAAUUUAAUCUGCUUCUCAGGUUGCUGAAGGUAGCAGCUGGAAUUCCACUAAUUAUCUCCUUCCCAUCUUAGCUUAUAAAGUAAGUGCACCUUAUGGAAUAAGUAGAAAGUAUUCAUUAUUUCCAACAGAUGAAAAUUAUGUUUUAUCCUAAACAAUUGUUAAGAGACCCCAAGCGUGCAUAGUUGCCACUGAGAAGUUUAUAUAUGGGAAAUAACAUGGAGCGUAUUCACUUUGUUAUACUUACGUGUCGAGAUACAAACCUUAGUUUUAGGGGAUUUCAAUCCACUGUUCUUGUAACUACAUUUUUUUUUCUUUUUUAAAUCACAUUUAGUUAUCAUAAAGACCUUUGGUUUCAGUCAGAUUGUUUAAAAGAGACCGCUACACUUAAUAACUGAUAUUAUUUUGUGGUGGAAUAAUCUGUCCUCCAAGAACGUAAAAGAUGUGGAAACACUCUCAUAAAAUAUAAUGCCAGUUCAAGCCAGUAUUUCUCUUCUUAUGAGUGGUGAAUACUGGAAGAAUGACAAACACUACUGGCCUUAUCUGGAUCACAGUACUGCUGAUCUAAAUCACAUAUACAGUGCCCUCCAGUUGUGUUAGGUAUGCAGGAAUGCAGAGCCUCUUAGCAGUGGUUAAAGUCCUCCCUUUGGGAAACAGCUCCCUCAAGUAUUCUCUCAAAGCCUGGCACAUACAUUCCUGGGCAGUUUUUCUGUAGUCACCAUGUCCGUUGAUCUCUUGAUACCAUCCCAUGGAUUUGGGUUGUUUGUCCAACUAGUUCUGUGUUUGCAUAAUGUUUUCGCCACUUCCCAGGAUGAUUUGAACCUCUGUGAAAAUGUGGUACAAUCCUCAGAAUUUACUUAAUAUACCAGGCAUCUCACGUUAACAACCUUUUUGUAGUGUUGCACAAUAGAUAUACAAUGCAAUUUAUUUGUAGGCAGUACAAAUAAGAAAAUAAUAAGCAUCAUUCUUGAUUAUUUUAUUUAUUUUUUUAAUUUAAAUUUUUUUCUCCCCAGAAAGAGCAUAUAGUAAAAAAAAAGAAGUCUACUAGGACAAAUAGAAAAAGGGGCCUAGUUCUCCAAAUUAUUCCCUUAAGUUAUUCUGUUACUACCUGCCAUUCUGGCUGUAAUCAGUUUUAGAUGAAGUCAAUAGCCAAAGAAAUACCACAAAUUAAUUUAUUGAUGACAUUCUUGUUCACUGACUGAUGUUAAUUGACCAUCAAAAGAAUAAAUGUAUGGAAUCCUCAGAAGAAACAUAUCUGUUUAUUUUCAGUUUUCUUAUUGCUCUUCGAAAAUACAUGAUAUCUUACAGCAUCAGCAGAAGGUGGGCUUCUUUUCUCAUACUUACUUUAGAGAUAGUCACUGAAAGUGAAAUAACUUGUGAUGUGAUGAACUCCAUUACACCCUGGGUAUUGCUGCUGGUGAGUGGAUGACUUACAGGAUUAUUAACAGAGUCAAUCUCCUGAUGAUCCAAGCAGACAUUUUUAUUUGCUAACAAAAUGCAGUAAUGGAAAGAACUAUGAGAAAGCUGGAGGAAUUUGCCUAGUGGCUAACAGGACUUGAGCAUACACCUUAAACUUAUUUUAUAGAGGUAGUGCAAUAAAUAAGUAAAUAAAUAUGCAUAUAUACAUAUAUAUAUAUCCUAGCGUAUGUUCAUAUUUGACCAAAAGCUAUUUUCAGGUUAUGGUAUUUCUCAUUUGGGAAAUGAAGGUACUUGCAAUCCACCAUCCCCUGGUCUCUGAGAAGUGACCCAGCCUGAUGCAUAUAUAUCCAUCCUGCUUCAUUCCACCACUCCUUUCUAAGCCAGCAGCCUAAUAAUGAAGCUCUUCAUGAGACUGUGAAGCCAGUACCAGCAACAAUGAGUCUUCAUUAUUCCUGGAGAAGACUGGGGUGUUUGAUAUGCAUGAAGCUUUGUGCAGAUAGCUACGACUAUAAACUGCCAUUUGUUACUGUCAAACAAAUAAGUGUUACAACUAUUUAGAAGUGUUGCUCUUCUCUAGCAAGGGAUUUAUACUUGAAAAAUAAAACAAAAACUAAUUAGUACCUUAUCUUUUUUUUUUCCACCGAAAUGAAUGGAUUUUGGCUGAUGAACGGAAAUCUUGUUCCCUGUUACUGCUUACUCAAUGGGGUUGGAAAUGAUAAAGAAUUGGAUUGAUAUAAGUAACUGAGAUACUUACCUGUGACCUGAGACCUAGUCUGACGAAUCUUUUAGCUAUUUGCACAUAGAUACCAUGUUUGUAAAAUACACAAACUUGUCACAUAAUACAUAACUAUGUAUUUGUAGAUUUAAAAAAUAUAUGUACUUUGCAGAGACCCUACAAAUUGAAAAUGCUGAUCAUCUAUUUGGCUUUUUGUUAUGCAGGAAG
ensembl:lncRNA